GAGAAUCAAAUUGGAUGAUUUGAUUCAAUUUUUCUAUGAUUUUAGCUGAAUCUUUGAGAGGAGGAGUUGACUCGAAUAAUGAAUCGAUCUCCUCGUGAACAGUUGCAGAAUCCAUUUCAAUUCGCCUUGGACAAAUCAUCAGAAACAAAAAAAAAAUCAAUCAAAAUGAAAAACAAACCCUAGUUGAAUUGAACUUACAACAAAAUCCAGUUGAUUUGGCCUUCAAGUUGAUCUGCU
rnacentral:lncRNA from 1 species